AGCUUGACUCUAGUCUGGCAAUGUAAGGAGACAUGAGAGGUGUAGCAUAAGUGGGAGACUUUGUCGCCGGUGAAAUACCACUACUUUCAUCGUUUCUUUACUUACUCGGUGAGGCGGAAUGCAUGCGCCGUCCGCUUUAGCGGCGGCUGUUACGGUGUUCUCGAACCAAGCGCGUUAGAGAGGCGUGAGGCCGCGGUCCGCCUUCACGGGCGAUUCGGGCGUCGAUCACCGAUACAUGUUCCCGCAUGAUCCGAUUCGAGGACACUGCCAGGCGGGGAGUUUGACUGGGGCGGUACAUCUGUCAAAGAAUAACGCAGGUGUCCUAAGGCCAGCUCAGCGAGGACAGAAACCUCGCGUAGAGCAAAAGAUUAGAUUUUUUUUCUUCCCUUUAAGCACGACGCGGUCCGUCGAGAGACACCCCUCCCCCCCUUGCCUGGGGAUCCGUCUUGUCGGUUAGACGUGACCCCAGUAAGUUA
rnacentral:ncRNA from 1 species